UGAGCAACCUACCGAACUGUGGGGGAUAGCCGGCCUAACGGCCGAGUAAUACCGCAUACGCUCUCAGGGAGGCAUUUCUUUGAGAGGAAACCUACGGGACAGAUCGAGGGGCUCGCGGCCUAUCAGCUAGUUGGCGAGGUAACGGCUCACCAAGGCAACGACGGGUAGCUGGUCUGAGAGGAUGGCCAGCCACAUUGGGACUGAGAUACGGCCCAGACCUCCGUACGGGAGGNAGCG
rnacentral:rRNA from 1 species